ensembl:misc_RNA Metazoa_SRP Metazoan signal recognition particle RNA
GCUGGGUGUGGUGGCCCAUGCCUGUAGUCCUAGCUACUUGGGAGGCUGAGGUGGGAGGAUUGCUUGAGCCCAGGAGUUCAAGGCUGCAGCAAGCUAUAAUCGCACCACUGCACUCCAGCCUGGGUAACACAGCAAGACCCUGCCCCUA